GAAAGCGUGGGUAGCAAACAGGAUUAGAUACCCUGGUAGUCCACGCCGUAAACGAUGUCUACUAGUCGUUGGGUCCCUUGAGGACUUAGUGACGCAGCUAACGCAAUAAGUAGACCGCCUGGGGAGUACGGCCGCAAGGUUAAAACUCAAAUGAAUUGACGGGGGCCCGCACAAGCGGUGGAGCAUGUGGUUUAAUUCGAUGCAACGCGAAGAACCUUACCUGGUCUUGACAUAUCUAGAAUCCUGCAGAGAUGCGGGAGUGCCUUCGGGAAUUAGAAUACAGGUGCUGCAUGGCUGUCGUCAGCUCGUGUCGUGAGAUGUUGGGUUAAGUCCCGCAACGAGCGCAACCCUUGUCCUUAGUUACCAGCGGGUUAAGCCGGGAACUCUAAGGAUACUGCCAGUGACAAACUGGAGGAAGGCGGGGACGACGUCAAGUCAUCAUGGCCCUUACGACCAGGGCUACACACGUGCUACAAUGGUAGGUACAGAGGGCAGCUACACAGCGAUGUGAUGCGAAUCUCAAAAAGCCUAUCGUAGUCCAGAUUGGAGUCUGCAACUCGACUCCA
rnacentral:rRNA from 1 species